GAUGAAGAACGUAGCGAAAUGCGAUACUUGGUGUGAAUUGCAGAAUCCCGUGAACCAUCGAGUCUUUGAACGCAAGUUGCGCCCGAAGCCAUUAGGCCGAGGGCACGCCUGCCUGGGCGUCACACGUCGUUGCCCCCCCCAUCUACUCCUUCGGGAUUGCGGGGGGCGGAUGAUGGCCUCCCGUGCGCCUCGUCGCGCGGUUGGCCUAAAUGCCAAGUCCUCGGCGACGCACGCCACGACAAUCGGUGGUUGCGAAACCUCGGUUGCCUGUCGUGUGCGGUCGUCGCGCAUCGAGGGCUCGAAAAAAUUGCCGGGCUUCGGCUCGACUUUCAACGCGACCCCAGGUCAGGCGGGGUUACCCGCUGAAUUUAAGCAUAUCAAUAAGCGGAGGA
rnacentral:misc_RNA from 1 species